rnacentral:rRNA from 1 species
UACGUAGGGUGCGAGCGUUGUCCGGAAUUAUUGGGCGUAAAGAGCUCGUAGGCGGUCUGUCGCGUCGGUCGUGAAAACUUGGGGCUUAACCCUGAGCUUGCGGUCGAUACGGGCAUGACUGGAGUUCGGUAGGGGAGACUGGAAUUCCUGGUGUAGCGGUGAAAUGCGCAGAUAUCAGGAGGAACACCAAUGGCGAAGGCAGAUCUCUGGGCCGUAACUGACGCUGAGGAGCGAAAGCAUGGGGAGCGAACAGG